UACGGGGGGGGCAAGCGUUGUUCGGAAUUACUGGGCGUAAAGGGGACGUAGGCGGCCAACUAAGUCCGACGUGAAAUCCCAAGGCUUAACCUUGGAACUGCGUCGGAUACUGGAUGGCUUGAAUUCGGGAGAGGGAUGCAGAAUUCCAGGUGUAGCGGUGAAAUUCGUAGAUAUUCGGAAGAACACCAGUGGCGAAGGCGGCUCACUGGUCCGGUACUGACGCUGAUGUGCGAAAGCGUGGGGAGCAAACAGG
rnacentral:rRNA from 1 species